rnacentral:rRNA from 1 species
AUAUCAUCAAGUUCUUUUGAAUUUAUAAUAAUGACCAAUUAAUUUUUUUAUGUGAGUAUUUAAAUUCUAUAUAGUAUUAUUAUUAUUUGUUUAUUUAAUUAGUAUAUGUGUUAUAUUUAAGUAUUAAAUUUGUUGUUUUAUAUUUAGUUUUAUUUAUCAUCAUUAACCAUAAGGAAAAUAUAAUUUUAAAAUUUACUGAACUGUGAUAUGUAGUUUAUUAUUUUUUGUUUAAUGUUUAAAUAUUUAACUAUUGAAGGCACAGUUGUUAUAUAUGUACCAAGUAAAAAUAGUAAGAGUAUUUCAUUUAAAUUAAUAAAUAAUUAUUUAAAAUUAUUGGAAUAAUGAAUAUUAUGAAAACUUUAAAAAUUAAUAUUUUUAACUGAUAAUAAAGUAUAAGUUAUUCAUUCAUCUGAAUAUUAGAGAUACAUAUUUAAUUUGUAAUUUAUGUGUUAUUAUACUAUAAAAGUCAGUAACAAAAUAGAAAAGUUAAUACAAAAAAAUUAAUAUUUAAUAUUUGUUUAAUUAAAAGUGACUUGAUAUGUCUAAAGCAUAAGUAUUAUUAUUAAAAAUAUAAUUUUAAAAAUAUAAAUAUAUUGUUAAUAAAAUUAUUGUAUUUUAAGUGCGUUUAUUAAAUGCGUUUGUCUAAGAAAUAUAUUUAAGAUUAUUCUUGUAUAUAUAUUUAUAAAUUAAUAAUUCUAAAAAUAAAAUAAAACUUCCUCGAAAAUAAAAUUUUAGUAGCAUAGUAAUUUGUUAACUAAUUAUUAAAGUGUUCCACAGAAAUUUUUUAAAUUAAAACAAAAAAAAUAAUUUAUGAAUUAAAAUAAAAAUUUUAAUAAAAAUUAAAUAAUUAAAAUAGGGCAAGUCCUACUCUCCUUUACAAAGAGAACGUUGACAUAUACGUAAUUGUAUGUUUGAUUGGGGCAAUACUAUAUUUAUUUAUAUAGGGAAAGAACUAUAAUUAUUGAAAUAAUAAAAGGUCCGAGCAGGUUAACAAGCAUUAAUACUAAAUGUGUUUCAUCGUCUACUUAUUGCUAAACAAAUUGAUUGUUCAUCAAAUUUGCAAUUCGUUAGUUGGGUUAAAAUCGUUGUAAAGCAGAUUUGUUUAUAUAUUUAAUUAAUAUAGGUAGUUAAUAGUAAUGUUAGUACGCAAGGAUUAAUUAU